AUCGAGACUAGAGUCACAUCUUAACAUGUUUCUGUUUCAUUGUCUUGGUGUGCUGUAGUUCUUGGACAUAAAUGUCUGAUCCUGUUCACUGGCUGCGAUGUCUCCAAUCUCAGCCAGCCAUUGAAUCAGUGACACUA
rnacentral:snoRNA from 1 species